UCCCUUUUCAUCUACAAAAAUUAAGUCUUAUCUGGAAAAGAAAAAAACAGCAUGUUCUUAAUUUUAAUACACGUAAAGAAUUAAAAAUGCACAGGCCGAAUGCUACCUUAAAGUGUUUUGAUUCCAGCUUUCCCACAAUAAGCACCACUGGACGCAUGCUGGGGUCUUUUUAAAAAUAAAACCUCAGCUGUUUGUUUGGUCUAUGAAUGUGCUCUACUUUUGAAGAGGAGCAGCUGUACCCCCGUUGAAGACAAAGGACAGUUGGCGGUGGAGAAGCUUUGGACAUGUGCAACAGCAGGAAGAAAGGCAAGAUGGGAGGUCUCACCGGCCCCAUGGCAUCCUCGUUUUUCAGAUGGGAAAUGUUGGGUGUUGAUUGUGGCUGGAUUGUGCCUGAUUAUGAGGUCACAAACUGUGGUAACUUAUCAUCCUACAAAGGAGGUGAACGGAUGUAUCAGAAGGUUAGAGUUGGGACUACGGGAGAAUGGCGGAGAUCUUGGUUCCCAUUUGACCAUGAUUACAAACCAGUGAGGCAAGUGCAAAGAAAAAAAGGAAACUUUGUGAAUAGCAUCCAGGCAAACACAGUUGACUUUUAAUCCAGCUUCAAUGCCCAUUCAGCAAAGCAUAAAGAAUGUUUGUUUAAAAGAUCAUUGCUAAAUUUAGCAUGAGCUCACUCAGCCUAAAUCUAAACGACAUUUUUAGAGUGCACAUUGCAAAUCAGGAAUGCGUGGAGAAAUAAAUAAACUUUCCCACAUUUCUGGAAACCAGGUCAAAAAAAAAUUUUUUUUUUCUGUUUUGUUUUGCGCAAGAUACACUUUAAUUUUUUUUCCUGUUUUUUUGCAUACACCAGGAAAAAUGGUGGAGAAACUUGGCAUCAGAUUGGCAGAACCAAUGGGCAACGUUUGAAGGCUUUAAUAAUAUGAAAAUGGUAUUUUAGUCUUCUGAACAUUAAAACACAAGAAGCAAUUA